GAUGAACGCUGGCGGCGUGCUUAACACAUGCAAGUCGAACGAAGCACUUUAUUUGAUUUCCUUCGGGGCUGAUUAUUUUGUGACUGAGUGGCGGACGGGUGAGUAACGCGUGGGUAACCUGCCUUGUACAGGGGGAUAACAGUUGGAAACGGCUGCUAAUACCGCAUAAGCGCACAGCAUCGCAUGAUGCAGUGUGAAAAACUCCGGUGGUAUAAGAUGGACCCGCGUUGGAUUAGCUAGUUGGUGAGGUAACGGCCCACCAAGGCGACGAUCCAUAGCCGACCUGAGAGGGUGACCGGCCACAUUGGGACUGAGACACGGCCCAAACUCCUACGGGAGGCAGCAGUUGGGAAUAUUGCACAAUGGGCGAAAGCCUGAUGCAGCGACGCCGCGUGAGCGAAGAAGUAUUUCGGUAUGUAAAGCUCUAUCAGCAGGGAAGAUAAUGACGGUACCUGACUAAGAAGCACCGGCUAAAUACGUG
rnacentral:rRNA from 1 species